UGGGGGAUAUUGCACAAUGGGGGAAACCCUGAUGCAGCGACGCCGCGUGAGUGAAGAAGUAUUUCGGUAUGUAAAGCUCUAUCAGCAGGGAAGAUAAUGACGGUACCUGACUAAGAAGCUCCGGCUAAAUACGUGCCAGCAGCCGCGGUAAUACGUAUGGAGCAAGCGUUAUCCGGAUUUACUGGGUGUAAAGGGAGCGCAGGCGGCAGGCCAAGUCAGAUGUGAAAACCCGGGGCUCAACCCCGGGACUGCAUUUGAAACUGGUCGGCUGGAGUGCGGGAGAGGCAAGUGGAAUUCCUAGUGUAGCGGUGAAAUGCGUAGAUAUUAGGAGGAACACCAGUGGCGAAGGCGGCUUGCUGGACCGUAACUGACGCUGAGGCUCGAAAGCGUGGGGAGCAAACAGG
rnacentral:rRNA from 1 species